rnacentral:lncRNA from 1 species
AUGAUCGCCCGAAAACAGUGGGAGCUUUUUCUGGAAGGAAUGGGGAUGGAGGGAUCGAUCGAAAGGCAACAGGCUUCUAAGAAGUGGGAAAACCUCAAAAAGAAGUACAAGGAUUUGAGGGCUCCCAAAACUGGGUCGGGGACGGAAAGUGGGGAGGUGACUGUGGUGACGUGGCAGUAUUACGAUUUGAUGCAUGAGGUUCUUGGUGCCCGGCCAGCAAUCGACCCACCAGUCCUUGUGUCCUCGAUUCAAGAAGACCCCAUGGUUAUCCUCAUGGUGAGGGUGAUGUGGUUUCAUGAAUUUCACUAACUGCUAUUCAAUCAUGUUUCAUGAGAUAUUAGCUGAACAUUUCUAAAGAAAAUGACUUC